CCUACGGGGGGCAGCAGUGGGGAAUAUUGCACAAUGGGGGAAACCCUGAUGCAGCAACGCCGCGUGAGUGAAGAAGGUUUUCGGAUUGUAAAGCUCUGUUAGCAGGGAAGAAGAAAGUGACGGUACCUUAGGAAUAAGCCUCGGCUAACUACGUGCCAGCAGCCGCGGUAAUACGUAGGAGGCAAGCGUUAUCCGGAAUGACUGGGCGUAAAGGGUGCGUAGGUGGUUUGACAAGUUAGUAGCGCAACUCCGGAGCUCAACUUCGGAACUACUACUAAAACUGUUGGACUUGAGUGCAGGAGGGGCAAUCGGAAUUCCUAGUGUAGCGGUGGAAUGCGUAGAUAUUAGGAGGAACACCAGUGGCGAAGGCGGAUUGCUAGACUGUAACUGACACUGAGGCACGAAAGCGUGGGGAGCAAACAGGAUUAGAUACCCCAGUAGUC
rnacentral:rRNA from 1 species